GACGAACGCUGGCGGCGUGCCUAAUACAUGCAAGUCGAACGCAGUGGGGACGGGUGAGUAACACGUGGGUAACCUCCCAUCAGAGGGGAUAACCAUUGGAAACAGGUGCUAAACCGAUACUGAUGGAUGGACCCGCGGUGCAUUAGCUUGUUGGUGGGGUAACGGCUCACCAAGGCCACGAUGCAUAGCGGACCUGAGAGGGGGAUCGGCCACACUGGGACUGAGACACGGCCCAGACUCCUACGUGAGGCAGCAGUAGGGAAUCUUGGGCAAUGGACGAAAGUCUGACCGAGCGACGCCGCGUGAGUGAAGAAGGUUUUCGGAUCGUAAAGCUCUGUUGUUAGAGAAGCGGUAUCUAACCAGAAAGCCACGGCUAACUACGUGCCAGCAGCCGCGGUAAUAC
rnacentral:rRNA from 1 species